rnacentral:rRNA from 1 species
ACGGGUGAGUAAUGCUUCGGAAUCUACCCAGUAGUGGGGAAUAACUAACCGAAAGGUUAGCUAAUACCGCAUACGUCCUACGGGAGAAAGCGGGGGUCGCAAGACCUCGCGCUAUUGGAUGAGCCGAAGUCGGAUUAGCUAGUUGGUGAGGUAACGGCUCACCAAGGCGACGAUCCGUAGCUGGUCUGAGAGGACGACCAGCCACACUGGAACUGAGACACGGUCCAGACUCCUACGGGAGGCAGCAGUGGGGAAUAUUGGACAAUGGGGGAAACCCUGAUCCAGCGACGCCGCGUGUGUGAAGAAGGCCUGCGGGUUGUAAAGCACUUUUAGUGGGGAUGAAAAGUUCAGGGCUAAUACCCUUGGGCAUUGACCUAACCCACAGAAAAAGCACCGGCUAACUCUGUGCCAGCAGCCGCGG